rnacentral:rRNA from 1 species
UACGAAGGGGGCUAGCGUUGUUCGGAUUUACUGGGCGUAAAGCGCACGUAGGCGGAUCGUUAAGUCGGGGGUGAAAUCCUGGAGCUCAACUCCAGAACUGCCUUCGAUACUGGCGAUCUUGAGUCCGGAAGAGGUGAGUGGAACUCCUAGUGUAGAGGUGGAAUUCGUAGAUAUUAGGAAGAACACCAGUGGCGAAGGCGGCUCACUGGUCCGGUACUGACGCUGAGGUGCGAAAGCCAGGGGAGCAAACGGG